UCUGGCGGCAGUAGCGCGGUGGUCCCACCUGACCCCAUGCCGAACUCAGAAGUGAAACGCCGUAGCGCCGAUGGUAGUGUGGGGUCUCCCCAUGCGAGAGUAGGGA
rnacentral:rRNA from 3 species